rnacentral:rRNA from 1 species
GACGAACGCUUGCGGCGUGCUUAACACAUGAAAGUCGAACGGGAGUAUUGAAGAAGCUUGCUUUAGAGAUACUUUAUUGGCGGACGGGUGAGUAACGCGUGAGGAGCUGUCCUAUGCAGGGGGACAACAGUUGGAAACGACUGCUAAUACCCCAUAAGCAGAGAGGUACAAGGAUUUAUCCGGCAAUGGAGGUACUCGCGUCCUAUCAGCUAGUAGGUGAGGUAACGGCUCACAUAGGCGAAGACGGGUAGCCGGCCUGAGAGGGCGAACGGACACACUGGAACUGAGGUACGGUCCAGACUCCGACGGGAGGCAGCAGUGGGGAAUAUUGGGUGAUGGGGUGAACCCUGACCCAGCGACGCCGCGUGAGUGAUGACGGCCUUCGGGUUGUAAAGCUCUGUCUUUGGGGACGAUAAUGACGGUACCCAAGGAGGAAGCCACGGCUAACUACGUGCCAGCCGCCGCGGUAA